GUGGGGAAUCUUAGACAAUGGGCGCAAGCCUGAUCUAGCCAUGCCGCGUGAGCGAUGAAGGCCUUAGGGUUGUAAAGCUCUUUCAGCUGGGAAGAUAAUGACGGUACCAGCAGAAGAAGCCCCGGCUAACUCCGUGCCAGCAGCCGCGGUAAUACGGAGGGGGCUAGCGUUGUUCGGAAUUACUGGGCGUAAAGCGCACGUAGGCGGAUCAGAAAGUCAGAGGUGAAAUCCCAGGGCUCAACCGUGGAACUGCCUUUGAAACUCCUGAUCUUGAGGUCGAGAGAGGUGAGUGGAAUUCCGAGUGUAGAGGUGAAAUUCGUAGAUAUUCGGAAGAACACCAGUGGCGAAGGCGACUCACUGGCCCAAUACUGACGCUGAGGCGCGAAAGCGUGGGGAGCAAACAGGAUUAGAAACCCGUGUAGUCC
rnacentral:rRNA from 1 species